CUAAUAUAGAAUACGACGGAACUUGUCGACGAAGAAGAACCGACGACACGGCGACAGACGGCGGAGGAGGAACUCUAAUCGUGAAGAUAGAUCAGAAGUUGAAUCGUGAAGGAAUUGAACCCUAACGAACAUAUUCGCACGAAACUGUUACAGUAUGUUUGGGUUCUUCUUCCUCGUGGUGAUCUGAUGAACGUGAAAGAAAGUGCUUCAUGGUCUAAAACGAAGCGACAGUGGUGGAGGAUACACAGAGAUGGAGACUCUUGAGAGCGUGAUCUGUCAAUUUUCAGGGUUUGAGUACUGUGCUUUCCCCAAAAUAUACAGCAGUUCGAUUCCAUGUUAUAGUUUCUAUACCAAACCAGAUUCAGAGAAGAUGAAACAAACUCCAUGGUUCUAAUGCUCUGUAAGUGACAGCUGAAUCUUACUUUAAUUCUUGUAUAUCUUUCUGGCCAUGUGAAGUCAAAACUUGAGAAACAAAGGCUAUGUUACUGCCUUGCUGGUAUGGAUAUUGUUGGAAGUCAAAGACUUCAAAGGAGGUCUGAACAAAAGAUCAAAAGUGUGAGUAUCGUGUAGGAUAAAUUUAUCCAAGUUUGAGGAGUUUCAUCACAAAUUAAUGAACUAAAAGACUCUAUUUCCAAGUUUGAGGAGGACAAGGAGAAGCUCUAUAUACGAUAUGAGCAACUAAGUAAGCCAACAAACUCCUUUAUGAAACCACUGUUAAUAAGAUGACAAAGAAGCCUGAAUAGGAGAGGUUCUACAAAGAAAAGCUUGCUCAGUUGGAAGAAUCACUCAAGGUUUGACUGAAUGAUCAAAAAGUUGCCAAGUGUUGUAGUUAAAGCUCAUCAUUCAUUUUCUAGAGCAUGUAAGCAGUUCUAGACGUUUCUAGAAUAACUUCAUCGUGGAGAAAAACAAGGCGAUCCAACCAGCCAAGAAAUCCACUUUCCCUAGCUAAGAAAGAUGAAGUUCUAGAGAAAAGACAAAAAACUGCAGCAAGAAACAAAUAUGUGGAAAAAGCAUUCGAAAUCAGUAAAAACACGUUUGUCUCUUGAGGUUUUGAUGGUUUAUUGUGUUCUCUAACUGGAACCAUAUAAUAGCACAUACCUCUUAGACGUUUUUAUUUCAGGUCUAUUGCAACAGCUGAAAUGGUUGUGCAUUAUCUUCUUUUUUCUUAAGUUGAAUCCUUCUCCAAAGUAUGUUUCUUCAAUCUUUUGUUUUCGAGUUGUCUUCUCUUUCCUUUUUAUGCAGUAACUAUCUAUUUCUUAGUUAGGAGGACAAUGAGAGACUCUAUAUGUGAAAGGAACAACUAAGAGAGAUUCUACACAGAAGAGCUUCCUCAAUUAGAAGAUUCACUGGAAAAAAAAAGAAGCAGAUUAGUGUCUCUUCAUAUGACACUAAAAGUGGGAGUAAAACAAGAGAACUCCACUUACAUUGUGUUUAGUUGCAACCAGAUUCGGGACUACCUCAUGGAUUCUUUGGAACAAGAUUCACUUUUCUGCCCAAGAAGAUGUAAUAAACUCCAUGGUUCUAAUGCUCUUGUGUCCACUGAGGUAAAGCCAAAGAUCUAUGAGUUGAAGUCAACACUUGAAAAAGGUUAAUUACGAGAGGAGUGCUGCUUUACGAGAAUUUGAGAUUAAGUUAUUAUAGUAAUUUGAACUCUUGAAGCUAAUUUGUGCGGAAGAAUUGUGAGUACAGGUUGCAAAGAUGAAUAAUGAAGAAGAAUAGAUGAACUUUUCAGUAGAACAGAAGGAUCAGUAAGAAAAGUUCUUGUCCCAUAUCAAUUUUUUGAAGCAAUGAAAAGUUGAUAAACAAAUAUCAAACUUGUUUGCAUAUUAUUGAACAUGGAGAUAUAACUUAGAAGAAGAGGAUAAAGAAUCUCUCCGGAUUGUUAAGGAAAAGAAAGCCAACAAUGUCACUAAGUUUUAGACAAAGGUAGACAUGUUUGCAUAUUAUUUGAAUAAGGUGAUAUAUAUGGAAGGAUGUAAAAGGCUGAAGAGAAAACCGAAAAAAAAAAUCAUUAAGGGUUGAUAAUGCUCGGCUUCCUUUGAGCAGUUUGGUUAUUUGUGAGAUAUGAUUUUGCUUCUCUUGGUUUCUUGAUCAGUUUCCAAAAUGGUAUUCCAUUAAGAUGAAGACUUUUCUUGACAUGCUUGCAUAUAAGGAUGUUAAUAAUCUCUUGCCUUGUAACAACCCUUAAAACCAUCUUGUGAUGAUUCAGGAGUCUGGGGAGGUGAUAGAUCGGGCAUGGAGUUCUGGAGUUGGUGGAUUCGUCGAUGAGAAGCGGCUGGAGCGAUGUUAGGGUUUCGGUGUCGCUUGACACCAAGGGGAUCGACACCAACUUUCUUUCUCGCGAGGAUGGUCGCGAGUGUCGAGCGACACCAGCGGAUGGUGUCGAUCGACACUGCUCGUCAG